rnacentral:rRNA from 1 species
GACGAACGCUGGCGGCGUGCUUAACACAUGCAAGUCGAACGGAAAGGCCCUGCUUUUGUGGGGUGCUCGAGUGGCGAACGGGUGAGUAACACGUGAGUAACCUGCCCUUGACUUUCGGAUAACUUCAGGAAACUGGGGCUAAUACCGGAUAGGAGCUCCUGCUUCAUGGUGUGGGUUGGAAAGGUUCGGCGGUUGGGGAUGGACUCGCGGCUUAUCAGCUUGUUGGUGGGGUAGUGGCUUACCAAGGCUUUGACGGGUAGCCGGCCUGAGAGGGUGACCGGCCACAUUGGGACUGAGAUACGGCCCAGACUCCUACGGGAGGCAGCAGUGGGGAAUAUUGCACAAUGGGCGGAAGCCUGAGGCAGCAACGCCGCGUGCGGGAUGACGGCAUUCGGGUUGUAAACCGCUUUCGCCUGUGACGAAGCGUGAGUGACGGUAAUGGGUAAAGAAGCACCGGCUAACUACGUG